GGAGUUAGCCGGUGCUUCUUCUGUGAGUGAUGUCCUUCCUGCCGGUUAUUGACCCGCAGGCCUUCUUCCUCACUGAAAGUGCUUUACAACCCGAAGGCCUUCUUCACACACGCGGCAUGGCUGGAUCAGGGUUGCCCCCAUUGUCCAAUAUUCCCCACUGCUGCCUCCCGUAGGAGUCUGGGCCGUGUCUCAGUCCCAGUGUGGCUGAUCAUCCUCUCAGACCAGCUACGGAUCGUCGCCUUGGUGAGCCGUUACCUCACCAACCAGCUAAUCCGACAUAGGCUCAUCCGAUAGCGCGAGGCCCGAAGGUCCCCCGNUUUCCCCCGUAGGGCGUAUGCGGUAUUAGCCUGGGUUUCCCCAGGGUUAUCCCCCACUACCGGGCAGAUUCCUAUGCAUUACUCACCCGUCCGCCGCUCGCCACCAGGGAGCAAGCUCCCCGUGCUGCCGCUCGACUUGCAUGUGUAGCNCGCCGCCACGCGUCAUCUGAGCGAGAUACAACUACUGA
rnacentral:rRNA from 1 species